AGCUCCAAUAGCGUAUAUUAAAGUUGCUGCAGUUAAAAAGCUCGUAGUUGCAUUUCCGAGGCAAGGGAUUAGUCCGACCUUUGGUGGGUAUUUAAUCCUCUUGCCUCGUCCUUGAGUGGUGCUUCUUGGUAUUAAGUUAUCGAGGAGAUAGCCGCUCAUCGUUUACUGUGAGAAAAUUAGAGUGUUCAAAGCAGGCUUAUGCCGUUGAAUAUAUUAGCAUGGAAUAAUAAGAUAGGACCUCGGUACUAUUUUGUUGGUUUGCGCACCAAGGUAAUGAUGAACAGGGACAGUUGGGGGUAUUUGUAUUUCGUUGUCAGAGGUGAAAUUCUUAGAUUUACGAAAGACAAACUACUGCGAAAGCAUUUACCAAGGAUGUUUUCAUUG
rnacentral:rRNA from 1 species